UGGGGAAUUUUGGACAAUGGGGGAAACCCUGAUCCAGCCAUCCCGCGUGUGCGAUGAAGGCCUUCGGGUUGUAAAGCACUUUUGGCAGGAAAGAAACGUCGCGGGUUAAUACCCCGCGAAACUGACGGUACCUGCAGAAUAAGCACCGGCUAACUACGUGCCAGCAGCCGCGGUAAUACGUAGGGUGCAAGCGUUAAUCGGAAUUACUGGGCGUAAAGCGUGCGCAGGCGGUUCGGAAAGAAAGAUGUGAAAUCCCAGAGCUUAACUUUGGAACUGCAUUUUUAACUACCGGGCUAGAGUGUGUCAGAGGGAGGUGGAAUUCCGCGUGUAGCAGUGAAAUGCGUAGAUAUGCGGAGGAACACCGAUGGCGAAGGCAGCCUCCUGGGAUAACACUGACGCUCAUGCACGAAAGCGUGGGGAGCAAACAGGAUUAGAUACCCUGGUAGUCCACGCCCUAAAACGAUGUCAACUAGCUGUUGGGGGCCUUCGGGCCUUGGUAGCGCAGCUAACGCGUGAAGUUGACCGCCUGGGGAGUACGGUCGCAAGAUUAAAACUUAAAGGAAUUGACGGGGGUCAUAGCUGUUUCC
rnacentral:rRNA from 1 species